rnacentral:lncRNA from 1 species
UAAGUGAUCUUACUUUUCUAUUGUUAAUAAGAAAAAAAUUAAAGCAAACUAGAGAAGACCAACCACCUAAAACAUCUAAUACUUAAAAAAAAAAAAGUCACACACACACACACACGCACACACACACACAUGCACACACACACACACAUAUAUACUGGAGGGGAAAGAGACAGAAAAAACUAAUCUCUCCUGGGAGAGUUGUUUUCCAGUUGAGUGGAAAGAGAAAUUAAUCAGACAAAGGAAGGAUGAAGGAUCCCUUACAGAAUUGAACGCCAAAUGCUUAUACCUUUUAUUAUGUCAUAAUGACAUUUUACCUGAGUGCGGCAUGAAAGAAAAAGGGGACAGUUUCUGAGCAAGACACAGAAACCCUGUUCCAUGGGAGAGCCGCAUGGUGACCACAGCGUGCUGCCUCUCACGUGGUUCUCGGAUGAGCGAGCCAACAGAAAGAUACAGAGCUUUAAAAAAAUUCCAGGAACUGACACCCGGACCUCAUGUCCCACCUUCCACUCAGGAAGUAAAGCCAGGACUAAGUUCCCUGCUGCUACAGACGGGGCAGUGCAAGAUCAGAUAAAACUAAUCAGUAACUAA